UACGUAGGGUGCAAGCGUUGUCCGGAAUUAUUGGGCGUCAAGAGCUCGUAGGCGGUUUGUCGCGUCUGCUGUGAAAACCCGAGGCUCAACCUCGGGCCUGCAGUGGGUACGGGCAGACUAGAGUGCGGUAGGGGAGAUUGGAAUUCCUGGUGUAGCGGUGGAAUGCGCAGAUAUCAGGGGGAACACCAAUGGCGAAGGCAGAUCUCUGGGCCGUAACUGACGCUGAGGAGCGAAAGCAUGGGGAGCGAACAGG
rnacentral:rRNA from 1 species